UGGAAUUCAUUCUCUGUGGGUCCAGUUAGGUGAUGUGAUGCACCAACCUGUCUUCAUGGUGCUGGAUCGUUCCCUCCAAUUUUCCUGGGCUCUGCGGUCCUUGACAGCUUUGUUCUGAUCUUCUGGGGACAUCACACUGAGUUCUCACAUGUACCAGGUGGUCCUGGCAAGUCUAUAGCUGGGAAAUAUUUACUUUUCUGAGACUAAUUCUUAAAACAAAAGGCACUUGGGGAUCUAGUCCAUAUCUUCCAGGAACUAGAAAGGGGAUGGCUGGCAGUCCUCCACCACCUCAUCUCUCUUGAUUGUCUCUUUCACUGCUGCACUAGCCCAGCGGAACUUCCCAAAGUCCACGGUAAGCAGACAUCCUAUCAGAGAACAAAAUGCUGGUCUCCUUUUCUAGCAUAAGCCUUCACUCUUUACAACUGCCUCCCUGAAGCCCCACUCCAUUUGGCUAAAGGGAGGGAAGCCCUCUCUGAGGGAUGAGCAAGAGCCGCUUUUCUUCAGAAACAUGGCUGUCCCUAAUGCUGGUCUCCCUGUCUGUAGACAGGGGAUAGCAGGAGGCGGUUAUGUGAGAGAUUGAUUGGUGGUUGAAUCUAUUCUCUGACCAUCUCGGUAAGCAAAGAGAGGCAACGACUGGCCUAGGCAAUGGUCUGAACAGAGAAUGUGGGGCUUUAGCAGCAAUUCCAGAGCAACGACAGCUCAGAUUCCUGUUACCAUAGUUAGCUUUACGGUGACUGCUUGGUAUGGAUCUGGGUUGCUCAAGCCUACAUGUGGCAUAAUAUAAGGAAUGUGCUUAGGUGGCCCAGAGCAUCUGGCUUGCUACAUCAAAUCCUAUUUAGGUCGAGGUGGCACAUAAAUGAUUCAAUGCUUUAUUUUCACUAUGUACUCUUAAAUUGAUGGAAAAACAACAAAAAUUAUUAUGGCUAACAAUAGCGCUAUUCUCCCUGUCAGUACUAAGUGAUUACAUAGAAACCAAAAUGCAAAUAAGCACAGAUACUGCCGCAGAGAGAUAUAAUCAUUUUCCUGACCUUUUAACUUUGUUUACAGCAUGUACACAAUUAUUCUAAAAAUAUCAUUUUCUCUUGCAUUUGCAGAGCUAAAAUUUUGUCCCCCAAAAGAACAAUGUGUCAUUCUGCUGUUGGUGGACUAGAAAAGCUCUCGCAGCCUCGUCUCUUCUGUGCAUCGGUGGAUAGAUGUGGAGUCAAGGCUCCUUAGUGCAGAGUCCCGCACUUCCUCAGCUGUGUGGGGAGAGCCUGACAAUGUGUCAGAUGUCAGAAGAUAAUUUGUCGAAGGAGAACCUGCUUUCUUCUAGCUUAACCUCUUACUGAAUUGUUUAUCUAUGCCAGUGAUGUAUGUGAAUUGACUCAGUCAGAAAAGAAAAGUUUCUAUGAUCCCAUCCAGGACAUAAUAUUACAUUUAGCUGUCAUGUCUCUGACAUGUCUCCAUCACGACUUCUUUGUUUUUGAUGAUCUUGACAAUUUUAAGGAGUACUGAUCAGGUGUUUUGUAGAAUGGCCCUCAGUUGGGAUUUGUCUGAUGUUUUUCUCUUGAUUAGAAUGGAGUUAUGCGUUUUGGGAAAGACUGUAAAGAGACCCCAGUAAAGGCUCUCACCUAGGCUUUCCCCUGCCUCCUGCUUCUACGCCUAUCAGAAAUGGGUGCUUCCCUGUGGCCUUGAGUGGCAUGGCAUGCCACUCUUCUCUUGGGAAAGGUAAAUAAUAAACUCUUCUUUCAAAGCCAUUGACCUCUCCAUACUAUCUCUCAGUCACUUUCAAAAAUUUAAUCCCACAGGUACAAAUGAG